rnacentral:rRNA from 1 species
UGAGGAAUAUUGGUCAAUGGGCGCAAGCCUGAACCAGCCAUGCCGCGUGCAGGAAGACGGCCCUAUGGGUUGUAAACUGCUUUUUCACGAGAAGAACGGCCUGAACGUGUUCGGGUGUGACGGUAUCGUGAGAAUAAGCAUCGGCUAACUCCGUGCCAGCAGCCGCGGUAAUACGGAGGAUGCAAGCGUUAUCCGGAUUUAUUGGGUUUAAAGGGUGCGUAGGCGGGGUUGUAAGUCAGUGGUGAAAUCCUGCAGCUUAACUGUAGAAUUGCCGUUGAUACUGCUACCCUUGAAUGCAGUUGAGGUAGGCGGAAUGUGUAAUGUAGCGGUGAAAUGCUUAGAUAUUACACAGAACACCGAUUGCGUAGGCAGCUUACUAAACUGUGAUUGACGCUGAGGCACGAAAGCGUGGGGAUCAAACAGGAUUAGAUACCCCCGUAGUCC